CCCACCCUCCUCAAGUUCGGCACGUCCCUCUACCCUCCACACGUCGGUCACCACCAUCAGCAAGUCUGGGGAAGAAAGGUCGGGGCGGCAGGGGAGGAAUGCGCUCGGCGCGGUCCCUCACCUCUGGAUGGAGAAGGGGCACGCAGCCCGCCUCGGACGAGAAAGCACAAUAGAAGAGUAGAAUGCAUGCUGGAUAUCAAUUCACCGUAUCCCUCACACAGAAGUCACUGGAAGGAGUGGCCCUAGGAGCUUGCCAGAGGGAGCUGUGGGCUGCUGUGCAUUGCAAAGGCCAGGCACUGGUGAAGCUGCUGGUACUGCAGGAACCACGCCUGGAAAACCUUCUAUAUGCAGGAGUCUGACCUACAGCAACUGUCCCAGCACAUCAGAGCCAGUGAGCUCAUCUUUGUCCCCUGCCAUGUCUCCCCGGUACCCUUUCAUCAUGAGGUUGCAGUACCAACUGGCAAAGGAAAAUCAUUUACAGGGCUCUGAUUCAUUUUUCAAAAUGCAGUUUAAAAAAAGGCAGUAUAUUAUCAACCACACAUAUGACAAAUCAGUGAGAAAUUCAAGUCUUUUUUCAUGUGAUCUACUCGCUUUCACUAGAUGAACUGUCAGACAAUCCAAGAGCCUUGUUUCUUUCUCUUUUUGUUACUCCUGUUAUACUCUGAAAAACAUUUUUCUACCAUUUGCCUCUGGAUGUCAGAAUUAAUUCCAUUGAUUAUAUUGUUCUU